GACGAACGCUGGCGGCGUGCUUAACACAUGCAAGUCGAACGGAAAGGCCCUGCUUUUGUGGGGUGCUCGAGUGGCGAACGGGUGAGUAACACGUGAGUAACCUGCCCUUGACUUUGGGAUAACUUCAGGAAACUGGGGCUAAUACCGGAUAGGAGCUCCUGCUGCAUGGUGGGGGUUGGAAAGUUUCGGCGGUUGGGGAUGGACUCGCGGCUUAUCAGCUUGUUGGUGGGGUAGUGGCUUACCAAGGCUUUGACGGGUAGCCGGCCUGGGAGGGUGACCGGCCGCAUUGGGACUGAGAUACGGCCCAGACUCCUACGGGAGGCAGCAGUGGGGAAUAUUGCACAAUGGGCGGAAGCCUGAUGCAGCAACGCCGCGUGCGGGAUGACGGCCUUCGGGUUGUAAACCGCUUUCGCCUGUGACGAAGCGUGAGUGACGGUAAUGGGUAAAGAAGCACCGGCUAACUACGUG
rnacentral:rRNA from 1 species